ACAUUGGUGGUUCAGUGGCAGAAUUCUUGCCUUCUAUGCAGGAGACCUGGGUUUGAUUCCCAGCCAAUGCA
rnacentral:tRNA from 1 species